CAAUAUAGUCAGUGGGGGUAGACGCGAAACUUUGUGAUCUAUCCAUGGGCAGGUUGAAGGUUUGGUAACACAAACUGGAGGACCGAACUCAUUAGCGUUGAAAAGCUAUGGGAUGACCUGUGGAUAGGGGUGAAAGGCCAAUCAAACUGAGAGAUAGCUCGUUCUCCCCGAAAUGUUUUUAGGAACAGCCUCGUAUACAGAGUUAUCAUAGAGGUAGAGCUACUAAUUGGGCUAGGGGGCUUCACCGCCUACCAAACCCUAAUAAACUCCGAAUGCUAUGAUAUUAUCUACGGGAGUGAGGCUGUGGGCGCUAAGGUCCAUGGCCGAGAGGGAAAUAACCCAGAUUAACAGCUAAGGUCCCUAAUCGUAUGUUAAGUUGAACAAACGCAGUUCAAAUCCUAUAACAGCCAGGAUGUUGGCUUGGAAGCAGCCAUUCAUUUAAAGAGUGCGUAACAGCUCACUGGUCGAGGGUUUGAGCACGGAAAAUAAUCGGGCAUCAAACAUACAACCGAAGCUUUAGGAUUAUCGUAAGAUAAUCGGUAGGGGAGCAUUCUAAACUGCAUUGAAGGUGUAUCGCGAGGUAUGCUGGAGCGUUUAGAAAAGAAAAUGUAGGCAUAAGUAACGAUAAAAUAGGUGAAAAACCUAUUCGCCGUAAGACUAAGGGUUCCUGAUCAACGCUAAUCGGAUCAGGGUUAGUCGGGUCCUUAGGCAAAGCCGAGAGGCGUAGCUGAUGGCAAACUGGUGAAUAUUCCAGUACCUGCUAUAAUUUCGAUGGGGUAACGGAGUAGUGAACAGACCGCGCACUUACGGAAUAGUGCGUUAAAGGGUGUAGUUAUAUCUUAUAUAGGAAAAUCCGUAUGAGAUGAUGAACCUGAUAGUACGACAAAGCUUCGGCUGCGUUGAUAGUGUCUCUAAACAGACUUCCAAGAAAAACCUCUAAGGUUAGGUUAUAGCAGCCCGUACCGUAAACCGACACAGGUAGUCGAGGAGAGUAUCCUCAGGCGCUCGAGUGAUCCGUGGUAAAGGAACUAGGCAAAUUGACGCUGUAACUUCGGGAUAAGGCGUACCGCAGUAAUGCGGUCUCAGUAAAAUGGUCCAACCAACUGUUUAACAAAAACACAGGGCCCUGCAAAAUCGAAAGAUGACGUAUAGAGCCUGAUACCUGCCCGGUGCUGGAAGGUUAAGGAAGGAUGUUCGGGG
rfam:Chitinophaga sancti strain DSM 784 genome assembly, contig: LX65DRAFT_scaffold00079.79